rnacentral:rRNA from 1 species
CUGAGACACGGACCAAACUCCUACGGGAGGCAGCAGUGAGGAAUAUUGGUCAAUGGCCGAGAGGCUGAACCAGCCAAGUCGCGUGAGGGAUGAAGGUUCUAUGGAUCGUAAACCUCUUUUAUAAGGGAAUAAAGUGCGGGACGUGUCCCGUUUUGUAUGUACCUUAUGAAUAAGGAUCGGCUAACUCCGUGCCAGCAGCCGCGGUAAUACGGAGGAUCCGAGCGUUAUCCGGAUUUAUUGGGUUUAAAGGGUGCGUAGGCGGCCUUUUAAGUCAGCGGUGAAAGUCUGUGGCUCAACCAUAGAAUUGCCGUUGAAACUGGGGGGCUUGAGUAUGUUUGAGGCAGGCGGAAUGCGUGGUGUAGCGGUGAAAUGCAUAGAUAUCACGCAGAACCCCGAUUGCGAAGGCAGCCUGCCAAGCCAUUACUGACGCUGAUGCACGAAAGCGUGGGGAUCAAACAGGAUUAGAUACCCUGGUAGUCCACGCAGUAAACGAUGAUCACUAGCUGUUUGCGAUACACUGUAAGCGGCACAGCGAAAGCGUUAAGUGAUCCACCUGGGGA